GCCAAGCAGUGAAGCCUCUCCCCGCCGGUUCUUGUAUUACAGUGCUUGCUUCUUUUGCAUAUUGUAUUACACAGGUUUGGUUCUCUCUACCCUUCUGUUUAACAUCUGCAGGAAGCCUCUGGAUGAGAGCAUCUGUCACCAUGGGAAGGUGGCAAAAAGUGAUCACAUGACCCCAAGGCACUGCAACCUUGAGAAAAAUGAGUCACAUGACCAUGGGG